rnacentral:rRNA from 1 species
UAAUACAGAGGGUGCAAGCGUUAAUCGGAAUCACUGGGCGUAAAGAGUGCGUAGGUGGUUAGAAAAGUUGAGUGUGAAAUCCCCGGGCUCAACCUGGGAAUUGCGCUCAAAACUGUCUAGCUAGAGUAUGGUAGGGGGAAGUGGAAUUUCCGGUGUAGCGGUGAAAUGCGUAGAUAUCGGAAGGAACAUCAGUGGCGAAGGCGACUUCCUGGACUAAUACUGACACUGAGGCACGAAAGCGUGGGGAGCAAACAGG